rnacentral:rRNA from 1 species
UGGGGAAUAUUGGACAAUGGGGGCAACCCUGAUCCAGCAAUGCCGCGUGUGUGAAGAAGGCCUUCGGGUUGUAAAGCACUUUAGUUUGGGAGGAAGGUGAGUAGUUUAAGAGAUGAAUCACUUGACUGUACCGAAAGAAUAAGCACCGGCUAACUCUGUGCCAGCAGCCGCGGUAAUACAGAGGGUGCGAGCGUUAAUCGGAGUUACUGGGCGUAAAGGGCGCGUAGGCGGUUAGUUAAGAUUGUUGUGAAAUCCCUGGGCUUAACCUAGGAACUGCAACGAAGACUGGCGAGCUAGAGUACUGUAGAGGGUAGUGGAAUUUCCGGUGUAGCGGUGAAAUGCGUAGAGAUCGGAAGGAACACCAGUGGCGAAGGCGGCUACCUGGACAAAUACUGACGCUGAGGCGCGAGAGCGUGGGGAGCAAACAGGAUUAGAUACCCCCGUAGUCC